ACAUUUCAUCUCAAACCUAAGGACCAUUUCCACGCUCAGUACUCCCUCUUCUUCCCUCAGCUUUCCCUGCGUACUCUCUCACCUCCUCAUUCUUCUUCUUCUUCAUCUGCUCUCUUUCUCUCUCUAAUUCGUGGUUUUUUUGGGUUUUUUGCAAGUAAUUGUUGAAAUUGGGUGAGGAGUGUGGAUCUGGGAAGAAUGCUCCUGAUUUAUUGCUCUGCGACGGUUGCGAUCGAGGCUACCAUUUAUAUUGUCUUAAGCCUAUUCUGGCUGCUGUUCCUAAAGGCUCCUGGUUUUGUCCGCCUUGCUCCGGUGGCAAGAAGCCCAACACAAAUCAAUCAAAUGAUUGCGGAUGUUGACAAGGAUGGAAGUGGUGCCAUUGAUUUCGAUGAAUUUUGUCACAUGAUGACUGCUAAAAUCGGAGAAAGAGACACUAAGGAAGAAUUAAUGAAAGCAUUUCGUAUAAUCGACCAAGAUAAUAAUGAACACUAAUGUCCCUGUCUUCCCUGAAGAAGUAUGUGUCACCUAGUUGGGGGCAGCCAUUUGUAGGAGCUAGCAUUUUGGCAGUUUCAGGGAAUGGAGCUAGCAUUUGGAGAGAGGCUGAACUUGAAUCUUGGGACGACAAACUCAAUAAAGGCCUGGUUGUAUUUCGUGACGAUGGAAGCUCAGAGACGGUGGGGGCAGAAGCAAUGUCAUUAUCAUUCGAGUGACAGAUCGAAGUAGACUGAUCAUAAGACUCUACGAAGGCUUGCUCAGAACCGUGAGGCAGCAAGGAAAAGCCGGUUGAGGAAAAAAGUCUACACUCCGAGGAUUGCGCCUUAUGCGAGGAAUUUGAUGUGGUUCGUGAGCAAUGGGCCAAGUUUUUUACCAGCAAGUAUUUAUUAUUGGCUUUAGCGCGCUUGAUCGAGUUGGUUUAGUUGUUAUAGAAUAAAUUUUAUAUUAAAAUGUAUGUUUAUGUUGAAAUUGGAACAUAUAUUUAAAUGUAAUAUGUGCACUUAAUUUGGUUUUGGGAUAUAUAGUAUACAAAACUCCAGUUGUUGUUUUUA